GGGUCAUGUUUAGUGUUAGGGGUUAGGGUUAUGGGUGAGGGUGGGUUAGAGUUUAGUGUUAGGGUUAGGGUUAGGGUUAGGGGUAGGGGGUUAGGUUUAGGUUUCGGGUUAGGGGUUCAUGGGUUCAGGGGUUUGGGUCAGGGGUUAGAGUUAUGGUUAGAGGUUAUGUUUAGGGGUUAGGUUUUAGGGUUACAGUUUAGUAUUAGGGGUUAGGGUUAGGGGUAAGGGUUAGGGUUUAGGGUUAGGAUCUGGGUUAGGGUUUAGUGGUUAAGUCUUAGGGUUGGGUUAUGGUUAGACGUUAGGUAUUUGGGUUAGGGGUUAAGGUUAGGUUAGGGGUUAGCAUUAGGGUUAAAGAUUCGGGUUAGGGUUUAGGGUUUGGGUUAGGUUAGGAUUUGGGGUUACGGUUUAGUGGUUAAGGUUUAGGGUUAGGGAUUAGCGUUAGGGGUUAGGGCUAAAGGUUCGGGUUCGUGGUUAAGCUUGGGGUGUUAGGGCGUUAGGGUUAGGGGUUAGGGUUAGGUUUAGGGGGUUAGGGUUUGGGUUUGGGUUAGGAUUAGGGGGUAGGGGUUAAAGAUAAGGGUUAGGGGUUAGGGUUAGACGUUCGGGUUAGGGCAGGGCUGGGCAAACUUUUUGGCUUGGGGGCCGCAUUGACUUUUAAAAUUUGACAGAAGGGCCAGGUCAGCACGAGCUAUGGUACAUAAAAAAAUAAAAAAACUGCAUUUGUUUACAGUCCAUAUCAAA